rnacentral:rRNA from 1 species
AAUCGAACCCGGAGAUAGCUGGUUCUCCUCGAAAUAGCUUUAGGGCUAGCCUCGAUACAGAUUUGCGGAGGUAGAGCACUGAAUUUCCUAGGGGGCGUCAAAGCCUACCGAAGAAUAUCAAACUCCGAAUGCCGCGUAAUUGAUUAUCGGGAGUCAGACUGCACGAGAUAAGUUGGGCAGUCAAAAGGGAAAGAGCCCAGACCUUCAGUUAAGGUCCCAAAGUGUGCGUUAAGUGGAAAAGGAUGUGGGAUUUCGAAGACAACCAGGAUGUUGGCUCAGAAGCAGCCAUUCAUUCAAAGAGUGCGUAAUAGCUCACUGGUCGAGAGGUCCUGCGCCGAAAAUGUCCGGGGCUGAAACGCGCCACCGAAACUAAGGAACCGAAAGGUUGGUAGAGGAGCAUUGCAUGCGGAACGAAGCAGUACCGUAAGGAGCUGUGGACUGCAUGGAAGAGAGAAUGCCGGAAUGAGUAGCGAGAUAGAGGUGGGAAUCCUCUAGGCCGAAUAUCCAAGGUUUCCAGAGUAAAGCUGAUCUGCUCUGGGUAAGUCGGGGCCUAAGGCGAGGACGAGAGUCGUAGCCGAUGGACAACAGGUGGAGAUUCCUGUACUGCGGUAUGACAGAACUGUGGGGACACGUAAGGAAAGCGGAAGCCGGGAAUGGAAAGCCCGGUGCAAGCGGGGUACCAGUCACUUUGGCAAAUCCGGGUGGCAAUGGGAAGCCGUGAUGCGGAGCGAAAUAAAGUAGCGAAGUCCGUGAGCCAUGCGUCAAGAAAAGCCGCUAUUGUUUAUACCGUACCCGUACCGUAAACCGACACAGGUGGAUGAGGAGAGAAUCCUAAGGCCGGCGGAAGAAGCAUUGUCAAGGAACUCGGCAAAAUGGCCCCGUAACUUCGGGAUAAGGGGUGCCUGGGAAACCAGGCCGCAGAGAAUAGGCUCAAGCAACUGUUUAGCAAAAACACAGGUCUAUGCGAAACCGUAAGGUGAGGUAUAUGGGCUGACGCCUGCCCGGUGCUGGAAGGUUAAGAGGAGAGGUUAGCGCAAGCGAAGCUUUGAAUUUAAGCCCCAGUAAACGGCGGCCGUAACUAUAACGGUCCUAAGGUAGCGAAAUUCCUUGUCGGGUAAGUUCCGACCCGCACGAAAGGCGUAAUGAUUUGAGCGCUGUCUCGACAAUGCAUCCGGUGAAAUUGAAGUACCAGUGAAGAUGCUGGUUACCUGCGCCAGGACGGAAAGACCCCAUGGAGCUUUACUCCAGUUUGGUACUGGGAUCCGGUACUGCAUGUACAGGAUAGGUGGGAGGCUAUGAAAUGGUAACGCCAGUUGCCAUGGAGCCGCUGUUGGGAUACCACCCUUGCAGUAUUGGGUUUCUAACCAGCCGCCGUGACCCGGCGGUGGGACAAUGCCAGACGGGGAGUUUGACUGGGGCGGUCGCCUCCGAAAGGGUAUCGGAGGCGCUCAAAGGUUCCCUCAGAAUGGUCGGAAACCAUUCGAAGAGUGCAAAGGCAGAAGGGAGCUUGACUGCGACACCGACGGGUGGAGCAGGUACGAAAGUAGGACUUAGUGAUCCGGUGGUAUUAAGUGGGAAUGCCAUCGCUCAACGGAUAAAAGCUACCCUGGGGAUAACAGGCUUAUCACUCCCAAGAGUUCACAUCGACGGAGUGGUUUGGCACCUCGAUGUCGGCUCAUCGCAUCCUGGGGCUGUAGUAGGUCCCAAGGGUUGGGCUGUUCGCCCAUUAAAGCGGUACGCGAGCUGGGUUCAGAACGUCGUGAGACAGUUCGGUCCCUAUCCGGCGUGGGCGUAGGAUAUCUGAGAGGAGCUGUCCUUAGUACGAGAGGACCGGGAUGGACGGGCCGCUGGUGCAUCGGUUAGACUGCCAAGUCUACGGCCGAGUAGCCAAGCCCGGAAGGGAUAAACGCUGAAGGCAUCUAAGCGUGAAGCCCCCCUUAAGAUGAGAUAUCCCAUUCGAAAGAAGUAAACCCCCUUGA